UGUUGUGGCCAUACCAUCUUGUCAAUGCCCAGUCUUGUUUGAUCUCGGUCAAGCAGUAUUUGGCCUGGAUAGUACUGGGAUGGGAGACUGCUGGAAAUAUCAGGUCCCACAGUGG
rnacentral:rRNA from 1 species